rnacentral:RNase_P_RNA from 1 species
AUAGUAGAACAGUCUGUCGCUUCGCUUAGGCGGGGAGGAAAGUCUGGGCAAUAUAGAGCACCAUACUUCCUAACGGGAAGUGGGCCGUGAGGUUCAAGUAGCGUAACAGAAAAUAACCGCCACGAUUUAUCGCGGUAAGGGUGAAAAGGUGAGGUAAGAGCUCACCGUUUUGGUGGCAACAUCAAAAGCCGUACGCCUUGUGGAUUGAAAGACCAUGUAAACCAACGCUAUCAGGGCUGCUCGCUCGAUGUUGGAGGGUAGGUCGAUAGAGGCAAGUGGUGACACUUGUUCGAGAUAAAUGACAGACAUCCCAUUUUUUUGGGAUACAGAAUCCGGCUUAUAGUUCUACUAUUUUU